UUCACCCAGUCCAGCAGUGUCAACACCACAUCAGCAGGAAUCAAUUCAAAAUGAUGAAGAAAACAGUUGGGAUCUUCCUGAUCUUCAAUCUCCUGUUGUGUUGAGAAUGCCACAAGUCCCAACCUGCACAAUAUGUACAGAUCGGUUCUGCGAUACAUUUUUUGUACCAUGCGGCCACAUCGCUUGUGCAGUGUGUACUGCUGAACUGGAGGAGCGGGGUAGUCAGUGCCACAUCUGCAGAGAGUCGUUUACAUCAACUUCAAAACUCUUUUAUUAGAUUAAGUGUAGAUGUUCAAAAAAAUUUGACUGAAUUUCAAUUGUUUAGGCUAAAUAAUGUCAAGCAAAUAGAGUUUAAUUGUGGUUGAAAUAUACAAGCAAAAUUUACUUUAAUAUACUGUUGAGGUUGUACUAAUAUUCUAGAUUCACAAUCUCUGAAAUUCAGAUUUGAAGAGAGAAAAAAAUUAUAACUCAAAAUAAAAAAACUUAACUUACUGCUAUGACAAAAGAAAAAAUAUUAGCUUCUCCAAAAAUGAGCUAAUAUGCUCUUGUUUAAACUUUUUAUUAUGAAUUUGAGCAAAACAAUAUUUUACAUUUAUAUGUAGACUGUAUAGAACGCUAUACAAUUUGAUUAGGAAAUACAUGUAUCAUGUUUGAAAUUUUUGGACAUAAAAUAUUGAGAGUAUAAGCAGUAAGGUUGUGAUCUUUUUGAUAGGAAAAGGAGAGCCUCUUUAUGACAUCUUUAUGCAUUUAUGCAUUUUUUUCAUAUUGCAUAGUGUUUUGGUGAAUAAAAGAUUCCAUCAUGUGCUAGCUUUGCUAUGGAUUGCUUUUCAAUUCACAUAAAUGUAGAAACAAAGGAUGUUGAAAUUUUAAUGCGUAUUUUGUCAAAUUUUUACCAAACUGGCACAUACUGUUCAUGCUUUUAAUAUGUAAAGUUGAUAAUUUUAAAAAGAAAAGAAUUGUUUCAAGGAUUAUUUGAAAAGUUUUUUCUAAACCUAAUUUUUUUAGCUUCUAUUGUUAAUAAAUCUAGCACCAAUUUUAGCAACCCCCUCCCCUUAUGCUCUUGGUUGCCAUGGAAUUCAUCAGCUUUCCUUUAACCUGUAUGCAAAUUUCAUACUGGUACAGUGCAUGUCUAUGGAUCAUUAUAUGAAUUAUGAAGACAGUUUUGAUAUACAGGUUAAGUUAAGGACUCAUGAUUAUUGUUUAUAGUCAAGUGACUGCAACCAGUAACAGUUUAUAAUGACUCAUAUAGCUUAAACAAUUAAGCUAUUUUUUAUGAUUUUCAAUUAUUAUUAAUUUUUUUGCUUGUUUACCUCAACAUAAAAAAAUAGUUGAUUUUUUUUAUCAAGACACUUGAAGAUAUAUCUAAGUGAUCUGGUAUGAUUUAUUGUCAUUAAUUUUAAUUUUUUCCCCAUAUUGCCAUUUUUUUUUAUUUGGUUGUAGUAGUCCAAUUAGCAAAUUAAUGUAAAAAACAAACACAUUUUUUUGUAUUUUAUUUCAGUUAGUCUUGUAAUUUAUCAUAGUUAAGCAACAUUUAAUUUUUUUUAAAUAAAUCUUAAUAACCCAUGUUUGAUUUUUUUUAAUGAGUUGUGCUUCCAAAUCUGUAAAAAAAAAAAUUAAUUCAAUGAAUUAUGCAUAGAUCUGUUCCGUGCAUUGAUAUGCCUUCAUUUACACUCCUAAAAUUAUGAUAUUGACUUUAAAUUAUCGGAUUAUUAUCGCACUGAAGCAGUAGUGUGCGUGUAAUUUUUAAAAAGUAAAUAACCAAAGUGAAAUCACAAAUCGAUACAAGUGCCAGAAGACCCAGGAAUGGCAAAAAAAUUCACAGGCAAUAUGAUAAAUUUGUGAUUUCAUUUUGGAUAAAUACUUUUUUGAAAUAUGACCGAUUUUCAAAAUGGUAAAAUUUUGAAUCAAAUGAUUAAAUUUGAAUGCAAAAGAAAUUGUGUGAUACAUAACUUUGAACAAUUGUGCGUGCCUGCAGAUUUGUUACUACCCAAGACAAUGUGCAAUGAGGCACGUAUCUUGGGUCUUUUUACAUUGGUAAAGUUGAUGUUUAUGACCGAAAAUUCAUUAAAUCUGAUGUUGCAGUUUAAAUAAUUUUCUCUAAUGUUAGGUGGACAGCAAGGUAUAUAUGCAUUUCCUUAGAUGAAAUGUCAUGGCGAUUGACAUUUUGGGACCUCUCUCUGCGGGCGGUCUAUCGUAAUUGGUGUGUCCGUCCGUCCAUCUGUCCAUCCGAGGUCUCAUUUAAGGGUAUACAGUGACCUUAAACUAUGUUCUAAGAUCAAGGUUAUAGCAGAAUUGUAAACAAAUGAAAAAUCUUUGUCCGAAGCACAUCUUUUCUUCUUUUCGUCCAGUCUGGCUCAUAUUUCACCCACAGAGUUUUUGUGAUUAAAGGAUGUACACUGACCUUGAAUAAUAUUUUCUAUUUGCUUAAUCUUAUUCAGAACCAAAAGUAAAAUGCUUAAAGUAAGGGUAAUGAGACGGGAAUAAUAAAAACAGGACAAUUUUUAAGUUACAGGUCAAUGUCGAAGCAAAAUGCUGUGAAAUACUUUUUAUUCUAUUAUUUGUCCAUAUUUGAGCGGGGCCCUUUGAGAUGGUCACCAUCUCAAUUAUAUAUAACAUAGCAUUCAUGAAUUCAGUGAUGUUCUACUUGAACAAUUUCAAGAUAUAAAGGCAAAGCGCAGUAAAUUAAUUUAAUAUUUUGAACAAUAAAAAUGGUAAUAUAAAGUGUGACCAAAAUCUAACAAUGUCCUUUUUAAUGU